ensembl:lncRNA novel transcript
GCCUAGAGGGAGAAAACUUGUUGAAAUUCAGAGAUCCCCCUCCCCCUACCAAUACACACCAAAUCAGACGCCUCUGACCAGAUCUGAAUUUGGCUCUCAGAGAUUUCCAUUGUAGCCAGGCAGUUGGGGCACUUUCUGAGUGCUGCCUCCACCUCACUGUCCCCAGCCUGCCUGCCUCCGUUUCCCUAGCCCUGGGCCUGUGCCGCUGUCACCAUCACCUGGGCGCCCUCUAGUGGAUGAAUCGGAUUAUGCACGAGGGGGCUUGGAGCAGGAUUCAGAAGGGGCUCCUGUCCUUCCUUGAAAUGCUGGACGCCGGGAUCCUGGAACAGCUCUUCAGGUCUCUGCAUUCCUCCUGGCAACAGCCAGAGCCUGGGCGCAGGGGGCUACUGUUGUUUGAAGGCUGAAGGCUGCAGCCUGGUAGGGCACUCAGGAGACCUGGCAGUUGGCUGCAGGGCCAGGUCUAGGGGCCAGGGCAUGAGGGAUGCUCUGGGCUGGCUCAGCCCCGGGCCCCCAUGCGGAUUGUGACUGUGGGGGCAUGGCCACAUGAUGUUGAGGGGGGAUCUCUGACCCUGACCUUCUUGGCUCUGUGCAUCCUUGAAACCAGAAAGGUCUGGAACAAAUCAGUGAACAAUGCCCUAACUCGGGGAGGGAGCCACAUCCUGACCCCAGCAGCCUCAGAAGGAUCCGUGUCAGGGUUAUGGGGCACCCUGGGGGCCCCGAGUCUGCAUGGGUCUCCACAUGCAACUUCUGCCGGAAACUCUGAAAAAUCCCAACUGGGGGGUCAUAGGACACAAUCAGAAAUGCUGAUGCCACUGUGUGUGGAUCCCCGGGCCCUGGGGGGUCAGGAGCAUGUAGAAGGUGGGCCACAGGGGGUUCAUAAGAGAAUCCUGUAACCGCCCCUGCCCCCCAAACUUAGAAGCCCACUGGAGGGCCAUGGGUGAAAGCUUGGGGGGGUGUCCUGUGGAGUGGGUGGUGGGGGGUCUUUGGGUUUACAUGCUGCUGGGCCUGAGCAGCAGGACCCCGUCCACAGCUGAUCCCUGGGCCCUGCUGCUCAGCUGCUCUCUUGAGUGUUGCUGUGGCUGCCGAGAGAGCCUGAGUCGAGCCUCUCUUGUGCCGGCCGUACGCUGUCAGGCCACGCUGGUGAGUUUGGCAAGGCACAGAUGCCCAGAGCAGAGAACUUUCCUUGGGGAUUUAAUAUGUGCGAAUCUUGAGGUCCGGCAAAUCUUUCCCUCAGCUAGAGAGGGGGUUUUUGAGACUAGAAUCACCUCAGCAUCCUCCUGUCCCCAGCUGUGUCCAGCCUGUCUGCAGGGACAUCCUGAGAGGACUAGGCUCUCCCCUCAUCCACCUGCGUAAGUGCCACCCUGAAGCCUGUCCACCCAUGCUUGGAGAGGCUUGGCCUCAACCUGCUUAGCCAGCAGCAGGCUUGGGCCUGGGGUGCAGCAGAGACCCAGGUGGCUGUGGGGUGGUUGCUUCAUGGGGUGGUUCUGAAACGCAGUUGGAAGUGCAUGGACAGUGCCUUACCUGUUCUCUGUGGGACCCUGUUUAGAAACCAGGUCUGAGUUACUGGGGGUCAUCGCUACAUUCUGAUGGCCUAGCUGUGUGGAGGCCACGGUGGAGCCCCAUCCAAGGAGCCAGGGCCCUGGGUCUAGCCGUGACCAGAACGCAUGCCCUGGAGGUGUUUCUCAUCUUGCACCUGUGUUGCCUGGUGUCUCAAGUGGCCACAAAACUGUGUUAGCUCUUGGUGCCCCUGGGCUUCGGAACCAGGGUUUCCCUUCAUCUCAGUGACCCGGGAGCAUCUGGGCAGUGAGUAAAGAGGGUGAUUUACUUGAUGGGUACGUUUGGUCCUGCCUGGGAGCCCCCCCAGGCACGGUCCUGGGACCUGAAGCUGCCCUCGUUGGUGGAGGGGAGGGAGAGAGCUUCAGGGAUGAGGUGGCGUUGAGCUGGGCGGGAAGGGUGAGCCCCUGCAAGGUGGGGUGGGUGUGCUGGGGACGCUGAGCAGCACGGCCAGCAGGUGGGUCUUCAGCUCGGUACCCGGUGGGACUUGUGGUUGGGGCUGGUGUGUGGCCAGGAGAGGGGCUGGCAGAAGACAAGGGGGACUGUGAGGCAGCUCCCAUCCAGCGGUUGAAGCCUGAUGGCCUGGCUCUGUGCCUCAGUUCUCUCAUCUAUAAAAUGAGAAAACAGUGCCAGCCUCCCAGACCUGUCAUGAGGAUGAACGAGUGACCACGUAGCAUGGGCUGGGUGCGUGUCACCUAACAUUACCAGCCUUUGCAAGGAGAGCCCUGGGGACCUGGCUGAGUUUUUCCCUUGCCUGGCCCACUGCACCUGUCCCCACAGGAGCCAAGGAGGUCCUGCUGCUGGCCCGGUAGACGGACCAAUGGAGGGUCUCGCUGGACACACCGGACUUCACCGACAUCGUGCUGCAGCUGGACGACAUCCAGCAUGCCAUCGCCAUCAACUAUGACCCAAUGGAGGGCCACGUCUACUGGACGGAUGACGAGGUGUGGGCCAUCCGCAGGGCAUACCUGGAUGGGUCUGGGGCGCAGACGCUGAUCAACACCAAGAUCAACGACCCCGAUGACAUCGCAGUCAACUGGGUGGCCCGAAGCCUCUAUUGGACCCACACAGGCACUGAACACAUCGAGGUGACGUGCCUCAACAGCACCUCCCACAAGAUCCUGGUGUCAGAGGACAUGGACGAGCCCCGUGCCAUUGCACUGCAUCCCGAGAUGGGCCUCACGUACUGGAUAGACUGGGGAGAGAACCCUGAAAUCAAGCGUGCCAACCUGGACAGGCAGGAGCUGCGCGUGCUGGUCAAUGCUUCCCUCGGGUGGCCCAACGGCCUGGCCCUGGACCUGCAGGAAGGGAAGCUCUACUGGGGAGAUGCCAAGACAGACAAGAUCGAGGCGAUCAGUGUCGAUGAGACGAAGAGGCAGACCCUCCUGAAGGACAAGCUCCCACACAUUUUCAGGUUCACCCUGCUGGGGGACUUCAUCUACUGGACCGCCUGGCAGCACCACAGCAUCAAGCGGGUACACAAGGUCAAGGCCAACCGGGACGUCAUCAUUGACCAGCUGCCCGACCUGAUGGGGCUCAAAGCUGUGAACGUGGACAAGGUCGUCGGAACCAACCCUCAUGCGGACAGGAAUGGGGGUGCAGCCACCUGUGCUUCUUCACGCCCCACACAACCCGGUUUGGCUGCCCCAUCUAGGGCCUGGAACUGCUGAGUGACAUGAAGACCUGCAUCAUGCCCAAGGCCUUCUUGGUCUUCACCAGUAGAGCCGCCAUCCACAGGAUCUCCCUCGAGACCAACAACAACGAUGUGGCCAUCCUGCUCUCGGCGUCAAGGAGGCCUCGGCCCUGGACUUUGAUGUGUCCAGCAACCACAUCUACUGGACAGACAUCAGCCUGAAGGUAGCGUGGGCCCGAACAUGCACACGUGCAGCCUAUAUGGGAAAACCUUCCCUCUGUACCUGCCUCAAAGGUUUCAGACAUUUUUCUUAAAGCACUAUAAUAUUUAUUGUAACACAAUUCAAGCUAAUUAAAUAUGAGCAAGCCUAUUUCAAAAAAAAUAGACGAUUAUAAUGAGCAAAUCCGGUAGACACACA